GAAGCCCACGUGAUAUGCAAAAAAAAACGAAAAACGAAAUAAAAUAAAAUUAAUUAAUUGAAUAAAUAAAUAAAUAAAUAAAAUAUAAUAGAAAAAUCUUGGACUUGGACCUCUCUCAUUUGAGCCCACAGGUGCACAAAAAUCAGGUUAUAAAAGAGGGAGAACAGACAGAAAAAGGAAGAGAAGCAAAACACUCUGAGGUUUCCUUGAAACAAAACCCUGGACAAAACCUGGAGAGAAACCUAGACAGAGAGAGUGAG
rnacentral:lncRNA from 1 species